rnacentral:sRNA from 1 species
CUUUCAGACACUUCCGUAUUUCAUCGCCAUGUUUUUGUUGGAGUGUUUCACGUUGAGACUUCAAGGAAAGGAUUGGCCACGACUCAAUGACACUAUUAGUAACAUCUCACAUGCAGUGUUGAGCACGCUACCAAUGCUCCUUUUCAGAUCCACGGAGAUACUGGCCUACGUCUGGAUCUAUGAUAACCUUCAUUUCGUGGAUCUUCCUUGAAAUAAUCCAUGGACAUGGAUACUUGGAAUGCUGACAGUAGAUUUUCUGUAUUAUUGGUUUCACCGUAUAAGCCACGAAACUAACAUUGGCUGGGCUACACAUCAUGUCCAUCAUAGUUCGGAAGACUACAAUAUAACAACAGCUGUUAGACAUUCAAUGUUUGACCACUAUUUUAAAAUGGUUC